CCCUUAGAUGUUCUGGGCCGCACGCGUGCUACACUGAGUGGAUCAGCGGGUCAGGUUGCGCGAAAGCGUUUCCUAAUCUUUAAAUCCGCUCGUGAUGGGGAUUGACGGUUGCAAUUUUCUGUCAUGAACGAGGAAUACCUUGUAAGCGCGGGUCAUCAUCCCGCGCUGAAUACGUCCCUGCCCUUUGUACACACCGCCCGUCGCUCCUACCGAUUGAAUGGUCCGGUGAGGCCUCGGGAUUGUGGCCAGUUUCCUUUAUUGGGAGUUGGCUGCGAGAACUUGUCCAAACCUUAUCAUUUAGAGGAAGGUGAAGUCGUAACA
rnacentral:rRNA from 1 species